GAUGAACGCUGGCGGCGUGCCUAAUACACGCAAGUCGAGCGAACGGAUAAGGAGCUUGCUCCUUUGAAGUUAGCGGCGGACGGGUGAGUAACACGUGGGUAACCUACCUAUAAGACUGGAAUAACUUCGGGAAACCGGAGCUAAUGCCGGAUAACAUUUGGAACUGCAUGGUUCUAAAGUAAAAGAUGGUUUUGCUAUCACUUAUAGAUGGACCCGCGCCGUAUUAGCUAGUUGGUAAGGUAACGGCUUACCAAGGCAACGAUACGUAGCCGACCUGAGAGGGUGAUCGGCCACACUGGAACUGAGACACGGUCCAGACUCCUACGGGAGGCAGCAGUAGGGAAUCUUCCGCAAUGGACGAAAGUCUGACGGAGCAACGCCGCGUGAGUGAUGAAGGUUUUCGGAUCGUAAAACUCUGUUAUCAGGGAAGAACAAAUGUGUAAGUAACUGUGCACAUCUUGACGGUACCUAAUCAGAAAGCCACGGCUAACUACGUGCCAGCAGCCGCCGUAA
rnacentral:rRNA from 1 species